rnacentral:lncRNA from 1 species
CCCCAACGCACAGAGCGCACUGCUGGCAAUCGCCUUGUGCAAGUGAGACACGCUUAAAUAGCAUCUCUCCCUCCAUAACGCAGCGUGGCAUUUUCGCAGACGUCGCCCCAGAGUUUCCCAACGGGGCCCUAUUCCAGAAAGGAUCUCAGAGACCCGCCAAGAUUUCGGUAUGCUGCCGGAGCAUUGCAGAGGCCUCACAGAAAUAAAGCAAUUUGAUUGCUUCAGACGGACAAGCAAAGCCUGGGGCAUCCUGAAGGACACUGGAGAGAGGUGGAGACUGGCCACUCUUGCCCAAGCAAGAAGACCUGGAAAAUUCUUGUUUGGCCUUGCCAGGGUUGCUAUUUCUGGACUUUUAAUGGUGCAAAGCUUUCUGAUGAUGCCCUGUCCCAGAAGGUGGCCCACACUGGGUAAUGUGGCAACCGCCUUCAAGGCAACUGACUCCUUGUACCCAGAGCCCAGGCAGGGAGCAGAGACCAGCCUGAAUGAGAUGAUCCAGCCAGCAAAGAGAAGAGCCAGUCCAGCUGGCAGCCCUUUUCCAGUGCUACUUCCACAUGGCUCUGAGGGCAUCCAAAAGCUUUUAAGAAUGUGCAGGCCUGUCUGCAAGCCUUCCCAAGCUCUCUCAGCCCCUGCAGUGAGCCGCAAAGCUUCCAUAUCAAGCUAGGAGUUUGUGAUCCUCCCUAGCUGCUUUUCUUCCAGGGAAGAUUUUCAGGAAAACAAUCGCUCCCCAGAUGUAGCAUCCCAUGCCCUUUUCAGCUGCCCUUUCUCAAAGCAGCAGGGAAGGUCCUGUUUCUUUCUCUUUGUCACAAGCAUAUCUGCAGCAUUGCUCCUCCAUUGCCACCCAGCCCAAUCCCUCACUCUCUAGUCAACAUUUUCCCUCCUGCUACAGGGCAGGAUUAGCAACCCCUCACCACACUGGCAUGGAUUCAUAACAACAGGGAACACUGAUGUGGUUACCAGAGGAGAAGAAACCCCAUACCCAGCAACAGGUCUGUGCCAGUGCCAUACCCACAUGGAUGCAUCACAGCCUACUCCUAUGGCCCUACAUUUCCACAUGCUUAUACAAGCAAGGGAAGAACAGGAGACAACACAUCUUACAUGAGAAUGAUUUUGACCUGCACAGAACAGGACAAACCAGGAUUUAGACUUUCCCAAAAUAAACAAGACUUACCAGUGCUCA